rnacentral:misc_RNA from 1 species
GAUGAAGAACGUAGCGAAAUGCGAUAAGUAAUGUGAAUUGCAGAAUUCAGUGAAUCAUCGAAUCUUUGAACGCACAUUGCGCCCGCCAGUAUUCUGGCGGGCAUGCCUGUUCGAGCGUCAUUACAACCCUCAAGCCCCCGGCUUGUGUUGGGGACCUGCGGCUGCCGCAGGCCCUGAAAAGCAGUGGCGGGCUCGCUGUCACACCGAGCGUAGUAGCAUACAUCUCGCUCUGGGCGUGCUGCGGGUUCCGGCCGUUAAACCACCUUCAUAACCCAAGGUUGACCUCGGAUCAGGUAGGAAGACCCGCUGAACUUAAGCAUAUCAAUAAGCGGAGGA